rnacentral:rRNA from 1 species
CCUACGGGAGGCAGCAGUGGGGAAUAUUGGACAAUGGGCGCAAGCCUGAUCCAGCAAUGCCGCGUGAGUGAUGAAGGCCUUAGGGUCGUAAAGCUCUUUUACCAGGGAUGAUAAUGACAGUACCUGGAGAAUAAGCUCCGGCUAACUCCGUGCCAGCAGCCGCGGUAAUACGGAGGGAGCUAGCGUUGUUCGGAAUUACUGGGCGUAAAGCGUACGUAGGCGGUUAUUCAAGUCAGAGGUGAAAGCCCGGGGCUCAACCCCGGAACGGCCUUUGAAACUAGGUAGCUAGAAUCUUGGAGAGGUCAGUGGAAUUCCGAGUGUAGAGGUGAAAUUCGUAGAUAUUCGGAAGAACACCAGUGGCGAAGGCGACUGACUGGACAAGUAUUGACGCUGAGGUACGAAAGCGUGGGGAGCAAACAGGAUUAGAUACCCUGGUAGUCCACGCCGUAAACGAUGAUAACUAGCUGUUCGGGCACUUGGUGCUUGAGUGGCGCAGCUAACGCAUUAAGUAUCCGCCUGGGGAGUACGGUCGCAAGAUUAAAACUCAAAUGAAUUGACGG